rnacentral:lncRNA from 1 species
CUCUGAGCGGCCCCUGAUGUUCCUGUUGGACACUCCUGGCGUGCUGGCUCCUCGGAUUGAAAGUGUGGAGACAGGCCUGAAGCUGGCCCUGUGUGGAACGGUGCUGGACCACCUGGUCGGGGAGGAGACCAUGGCUGACUACCUGCUGUACACCCUCAACAAACACCAGCGCUUUGGGUACGUGCAGCACUACGGCCUGGGCAGUGCCUGUGACAACGUAGAGCGCGUGCUGAAGAGUGUGGCUGUGAAGCUGGGGAAGACGCAGAAGGUGAAGGUGCUCACGGGCACGGGUAACGUGAACAUUAUUCAGCCUAACUAUCCUGCGGCAGCCCGUGACUUCCUGCAGACUUUCCGCCGUGGGCUGCUGGGUUCCGUGAUGCUGGACCUCGACGUCCUGCGGGGCCACCCCCCGGCUGAGACUUUGCCCUGAACUUGUCCGGGUAGGGAGGGCCGGAGGCAUGUGGCCUCCCAGACCUCCUGACCUGGGUGGUUGAGGCUCAAGACAGCUCACCCGGUCCAGAAGCUCCAUGCUGGUCACUAGGGUGCUGUGCUCUCUGGCGCCCCACAGCCUGGCCAGCUCCAGGGACCCCAGUUGCAGGGCCCAAGCAGGUGGGAGUGGACACCAGGCUUCCCAGUGGACGUCCCUGAGCAGCUCCGCAUGCUUGGUUCUCCCGGAGCUUCCUGCUCAGGCCUCUUGAGAAAUGGAUGCUGUCUCAGAAGGAGUUAAAGCUAUAACCUGUAACCUUUAAAAUCUCCAGUUAAAGGGCCUGUUUCUU